rnacentral:rRNA from 1 species
AGAGUUUGAUCCUGGCUCAGAGCGAACGCUGGCGGCAGGCCUAAUACAUGCAAGUCGAACGGCUCUUCGGAGCAGUGGCGAACGGGUGAGUAACGCGUGGGAACGUGCCCUUUGGUUCGGAACAACACAGGGAAACUUGUGCUAAUACCGAAUGUGCCCUUCGGGGGAAAGAUUUAUCGCCAUUGGAGCGGCCCGCGUUGGAUUAGCUAGUUGGUGGGGUAAAGGCCCACCAAGGCUACGAUCCAUAGCUGGUCUGAGAGGAUGAUCAGCCACACUGGGACUGAGACACGGCCCAGACUCCUACGGGAGGCAGCAGUAGGGAAUCUUGCGCAAUGGGCGAAAGCCUGACGCAGCCAUGCCGCGUGAAUGAUGAAGGUCUUAGGAUUGUAAAAUUCUUUCACCGGGGAAGAUAAUGACGGUACCCGGAGAAGAAGCCCCGGCUAACUUCGUGCCAGCAGCCGCGGUAAUACGAAGGGGGCUAGCGUUGCUCGGAAUUACUGGGCGUAAAGGGCGCGUAGGCGGACAUUUAAGUCAGAGGUGAAAGCCCAGGGCUCAACCUUGGAAUUGCCUUUGAUACUGGAUGUCUUGAGUUCGGGAGAGGUGAGUGGAAUGCCGAGUGUAGAGGUGAAAUUCGUAGAUAUUCGGCGGAACACCAGUGGCGAAGGCGACUCACUGGUCCGAUACUGACGCUGAGGCGCGAAAGCGUGGGGAGCAAACAGGAUUAGAUACCCCGGUAGUCCAA